rnacentral:lncRNA from 1 species
CCGCCACGAAUAUGAGUCAUCCGCUAAGUGUGUAUUCAGCUAUGCACCGUGCUCGGGCAUGCAUCGAUCUGACACGUGGCGCACGGUCGCAGCACCACCGCAUUAGCCUUGAAUUUCACCGGCCUGAAGGUCUAAUCGCACGCGAUUCGGCCUCGGUCUGAAGAAGUAUCCCCUCGAAGCCGACGCACUGCCGUCUUUGUUCCUCACCGGUGGAAAGGUUUUCCGUUCUUCUCUUCGUUGGGUCUCACUGUUGGAGAAUGGGUUCCGUGCUGGGCUUGUCCUCCAGUCUGUCCUUUUGGGGCUUACUGUAAAGCUCGUCAAAUUGAUUAGUGACUGAACAGGAAUCCAUUGAAUACAGUUGAUUAAACACAAAGGGCAAAGCUGAACGUUUAUCGGAGAAGCACAGUACGACCAUAAUGAGGCUACGAGCGACACCCAGGCACGCUAGAGGGGCUGUAUUUCUAUACCAAGAAUAUAUGGCGGGCCUUGGCUUUCGGAAUGCCAAUAUGGAAGAUAACACGGCACAAUGCACAACAUGUGGAAACGAUUAAAAGCAGACAACCUGCGUUAGUGUACCGUCCGUUGUGUGCUUUUUGCGCUGCAGUGUGCCAUAAUUAUGUACCAGCAAGCCGAACUCGACACGGUAACCGAGUUGGUAUAAACUUUGAUGAA